rnacentral:lncRNA from 1 species
AAACAAAAAACAAAAAAAAAAAAAGUCAGAGAAAAGCCCGGGAGGCCAAGAUAGAUCUAGAAAGAGAAAAUCCAAAGAACAGAUUUAUAAAUGAAAAAGCUAAAGCUAGAAUCAGGGGUGAAACGGAGGGUUAGUGAGGUGUAGGGGACGGGGAUCAAGGACUGAUGGGCACAGAAAAGAGAGUGGACAGCCUCACAGAGGGUCAGAGGUGGAGAGAGAGAGAUGUACACAGAAAGUGAGACCAAGACAGACCCUGAAAUACUAGAGACAGAGGGGUGUGAAGAGAGACAGCUCAACUGAAAGACCCAUGAAAGAUGGCUGCCAAGUGACAGAAACCAACCAUGCAAGUGAAGAUGGCCCAGCCAGGUCAGAGUCACGCAGGAGGGCAGUGCAAUGCAGGGACAGGCAGACCUCCACCAUGGCCCUCUCAUCCCCAGGGACCUAUCCGGACCCCACCCUCCUCUUUCACUCCAUCACGGACAACCUCAUCUGUGCCAUUGUCUUUGGUGAACACUUUAGUUACCAGGACCCCAAAUUCCUACAUCUGCAGAGUUACUGAAGGAAACAUUCACCAUCCUCAGCUCCUUCUAUAUCCACGUGAGGUCAAAGAUUCCAGGAUGGGCCAGGAAUCUGGGAUGGGACCUGGAGUUCCCUGUCCUGAGCUCAGGAGCAGGAAGGCACAGUGGUUCUUGAAAGAACAAUCAAGGCUUGCCUUCGGAGAAAAUGCCAUUUAUUGAGAAACAGCUCUGCAUAUUUAUAGAGCUGGGAGUGGUCUGACAGUUGGCAGGGGUUCCUUUUUGAUUGGUGUGUAAGGAUCAGGUGAACAAGCAGAGCUAGUCUGAUUGGUGGGUAAGGAUCAUGUGAGCCAGCAGGGCUAAUCUGAUUGGUGGGUAAGGAUUAUGUGAGCCAGCAGGGCUCACCAUUGGUUGGCAGGAUCAUGUGAGCCAGCAGGGCUCACCAUUGGACGGCUCUUCUUGGGGGAUGGGGAAGUUAGUCUUUGGAGCCCCGGCAACUCCCAACAGUUCUGACCCUGGAAGGGGAGGCGGUUAUUUAAUCUCUCCCUGCUUCUGACUUCUGAGUAACAGUCCCACAAGGCCCCUGCCAGCAUCUGAGGUGCCUUUUUUAUUGUUUUUGAACUCAACUUUGUUUUAUUUUUAUAUACAUUUUGUUUUUCCCAUAAAUAAUAUAUUGACAUAGCUUUCAGUAAUACUUGAGCUGAAUACAUGCUUUUGACACUGCUGAUCUUUUUAAUGGAGUUCACGGCUACAUUGAUUAAAUGAAUUCCUUUUUGAACAAAUAACAAGUAGAAAGACAGGAACAAUUUAAUUUUAAUAAGCAGCUCAAAUAACACUUGGUUAAACUACGUACAAUAUAAACAAUUCAAACAAAUGAAGAGUAGGAUAUUGAAUUUGUUACCCUAUGUGUAGUAAAGACAAGACAGACCUUUCCCUUCUUAGAUAAGGAUUGUAACUUGUUUUAAGUGGCCUUAGUACAUCUCAACUUUGCAAAUAUCCAAAGAUUGGCAAUGAAAUCUGUAAUCCCAAUGUCUGCCCACAUGUAGAUGCCAAAUGUUUGCUCAUCUUUACUGAAAACAGCCUCCCUCCACAGCGGGGGGAGGAGUGGAAGAGUCAUUUUGUAUCACCUUGAAUGUGCCUACUGUAUGCUGGAAAAAAAGUGGCUACCCUUUGUGUUCAUAAAAUAAAGAAUACAGAGCUCUAAAGACA